CAAGAAGCCAGGGCUUCAUAGAGUCAGCAGUAGGGAGCCUGCCAGGGCUUUAAAGAGAGGAAAGACAUGAGCAGCUUAGCAUUUUAGAAAGUUCUCUUGACUGAAAAUGUGCAGAAAGCACAAACUAAAGCACAAAGACAAAACAAGUUCAGAGGAUGUGGCUGUCACCCAGACUGGACAGCCCCUGUGUACCUGGGAUGCGGAGAGUGACCCAAGCCUGAAUCCUGGCCAAUGAGACUGCCCAUCGAGGUGGAAAUCAUCUCCUUAAUUACCAAGGCUCCCUGGCCGCCGGAGGAGAAACACAACACACAGCCUGCCUAAUGUGCCAGCAGCCGAGUUGGGGAGGCCCCUGGGAAAAAGGCCUAUGCUCCCCCAGCCAUUCUCGGGGCCUAAAAUAUUAUUUGGCAUGAGAGAAGUGAAGGCUUAGGGGUCCAGUGGGGAGGGCUGGGUACCAGCUCAGAAGUAGGUCUAGCCAGGGAGGUGGAGUGCCCAAGGGGCACUUAGGGGCCUGCCGAGUCACAAUCAUCCCUUAGGGCACGAAUCUCUCGCCCGAUCCGUGCACACAGCUCACCUGGGACUCACCCUGUGCCGGCAGGGUGAGGGGCCUUUGAAAGGCCUAAACCAGAGAGGUGGAGGGGCUGAAGGUGGGAGCCAGCUGGCCCCAAUCCUGUUCUCUCUGGAGCUCCUCGGGCCUUAGCCCAGCCUCCAGGUGUGGCUUGUCUCCUUCUUAGAGGCUCCAAUGGCCAGAGCUCCCCACUCCCACCCUACUACCUUCUCCCAGAGAUGGAAGAGGACAUGGGAGGGGCCCCUCACA